AUACCCGAAUUCAUUUCAGAUCAAACACAACACUACUAUUUUGACUCUGAAGGAAACUUUCCCGUGUGUUCCUUACCCUGACUGUUGUGAAGUCUAGCUCCCUUUUAAAUGGAAAAUGAACAUUUUUAAUUUUAGAAAAUGUUGAACUUAUAAGAAGACUGCAAUAUGGCUAAAACUAUUUAUGAAGUUUGAAUUGAAUUUGGUAAAGGUUUGGGGGGAAUCUGAAACUGCCUUUCUCAGCAAAUAAGCUGUUUGUGUGAGAAACUUCUGAGUCUCAGGAAGACUCAGAAAUCCCAGCUUGGGAGCAGGCUCGCUCUGAGACCUGGGACAAGUCACUUAGCAAGAUCAUCACAGGUAUUUGGCUCCCAGGAGAGCUUUUCUGAAGAGCUCAGCCACAGUGUCAAUGUAUUAAUUCUGCAAUUAUAUCAUUGGAUAAAUAUAUUAAGGACCAGAUGGAUUAAUGCAUAUGCAUAAAUCUAAAGAGCAAGGCCCUAAUCUAGUACAGUGUUGUCUUUGCUGGAACCAGUAAAGGCAAAACAUGAUAGUAUUUCUGUGUAGACAAAUACCACUCCUCCUUUGCCAAAAAUGUAGAAUUUCCACUAGAAUAUUGAAAUUCCUUGUUUUUCUGCAUCAUGUCAAAUUCUCCCGCUAUUGUUUAAAUGCAAGAACCAAGCACACAAACCAGGCAUUGUUUAAUCCUCCUCUCCUUUAUCACCUUGCUUUGUGUACAAGAGAGAGAGGCUUCGACUGCGUUUCCCGCGACGGGACGUUGUCUCGUGCGGUAGAUGGAUGGGCCGUGCUCCCGCGCUGCGGCAGGCGCGAGAGCCGCGGGAAAGGGUCAGAGCUGCUGCGCCGCCAUGGAGCCCCCUCCCUCCUCCUCCUCCUCCUCCUCCUCCUCGUGCGCGCCCUCGUCCUGCCCGCGCUGCCGGGGGCUCGCCGGGCGCGCUGGACGUGGGCAUGCCUUGAUUGCGCCUCCUGCUACUGCGGGGGAGAGGCGGGCACGGCACGGGGUGCCGGCCGGUUUGUUUUCACAUCACGAGCAAAAAACCAAGAGGCAGUAGCUGCUGUAGGAGCCAUUGCAUAGUAGCUGAGUGCAUCUGCUUUUUCUCACCUCCAAAGCGAAUCAAUAUGGCUUUAAAUGAUUUCCCCAACGCCUAGUUUUCUUACCUUGCACUGCUGCUAUUCCAGCCGUGCUAUUACCCGGUCAUUCCUACCUCUUCCUUUCAUCUCUCCCUCGGCUUCUUCUCUUUGCCUUCUCUUAAAAAUACAUACAAAAUGCUCAGUGGAGCAGCUUGCUUUUGCUCUGUGUCGUUUGCUCGUGCACACACCCAUUUUCCAUCCCUUGCAGCCACACGCACGCUCACCACGGUGCCUCAGUACGCACGCUACCUGCCUGCAUCUCCAUCUCCCUCCCUCACACGCUGCCUAGCUGAUCUCUGCUUAAGCAACAUCUGCUUAUCAGGAGUUUUUCUUCUGAUGCUGUGGUUAGUGAGUAAGUGCUCGUGUUUCCUUGCAUUUCUGUCUUUCAAAGAUAUUCGAGCUUAAAAAAAAAAAAAAAAAGACAUUUUAAAAAUUGAAUAAUCUGUUGAGCUCUGUUUUUUUUUUCUCUCCGGUACGUCUAACCCCCACUGGGGCAGGCAUGGCUGAGAGCAAACCUGUAACUAGUGCUAAAAAUAAAAGACCUCCCCACAGUCUGGCUGAGCUCUAACUAAAAUAUGGAUAACCCAUGCUUUUGGAACUGCCCCAUUUUUCUAGAUCCCUCCUAAUCUUGGAUUUGGUUUGUCUGGAUCGCUGGGUACUCCUGGCUGUAUAAAAAGCCCUCAGAAAUGCAUAUGCAUCAUCUAAGUAUAUUGCCGUAGCGGUGAUACGGCCCAGCGAGAGCAGCGCUCCACCCGUGCAGGCAGCUUGUGCACCCAGCCCCCGAAUCCCCUUAUCACUUCAGUGGUGCACAUAAACACAUUAGCUGCUUAUUCCAGGCAGAACUCGCAGCUUACAAAUCCAAACUGCUUUUGCUGGCGUAAUCAUGCUUUUUAUUUAUGUCAUGUAUUGCUCUCACUAUUUUUGCAUUUUGUGGUGCUGUUCUAUGCCCAGGCACCCACUUAAAGAGAUGAGGAGAUCGUUAUUUGCUUCUGAUUAGCACAGUGCAUUUGAGUGGCAUGCUGGAGGCAAAAAUUUAAAAUGCAUCAAAAUGCAAAUAUGCCCCCAUUGACCUCUGAAAAACUGUGUUACAAGUGCUUUCAAAGAAAGCUAGAAAGGAAAAGGCAAGAGAUUACAAGUUUGCAGAGGUUUCUGAUAUUAAAAAAGAAUUCAUAGAGAAUAGUUACUUAGAAGGUGGUAUUGUGAGUAAUGCAGAAAGCCUUUUUCCCUUUUAAGGGGAAGUGGAGGGGGCAGAAACCCCUGCCCAUCUUACGUAUCACUCUGCUUACUUUGCUAGAAGAACCACUGAAGUGAAUGGGGUUGCUUGUGGCGCAUAUUUGCAUAUGCCAAGAUUCAAAUAUGUAGUCUAAUAUAUGGCAAAGGCCCAGAAUGAGAGACACAGAAAUUAUUCAUGAUCCCUUCUUUCAGUCUGAAAGCCUCCUUCUAUUACCUCAGUUUACUGACACUGCAUUUAAGAAGUAAAUAAUUUUCAUGAAGAAAGGUGGGACAGACGAAUUUGCUUGGAGAAAAUAACGUUGGGAUUAAGACAAGUGGCAUCCCUAUAGUAAUGUAUGCCUGAGAAGUGCAUUAUGGAAUAAGAGGCAAUGUUAUGUGAGUUAUGUGACCUAGUUGCUCUUUCACAGUCACCAGGAAUAGUGAAUGUACUCUUUAGCUAGAGAAGAUUGCAGUUGUUGGAUUACUUUAGCAAAAAAACAAGUCUCCCACCCAAAAACAUAAGCUUCUGCCCUGGCCCUAUCCUUUUUUUCCACAGUUCUUUUCUGCAGAUAUUUGUGUGUCUGGAGGCAUGACUUUCUCUAAUCCCCUGACACAGAUCCAAAAAUGGUGGUGUCCUCAAAGCAAGUCUAAAUGCUUUAAAAUCUUUUACCCUCGCCAAGCAACAGUUCAUGUGGCUGUGUUAAUAUUAGUUCAGUGUUCAAAUUAGCACUACUGCUUUAAUGAGGGAAGUCGUUAGGGCAUCCUUUGAAUAGUCACCUCACUGCGUUACGCAUUGCUGAUGUUCGGUGUCUCUUGAUGCAAUGAAUACCACAUAGAGCAUCGCUGCUGUUACUAACGGCAUAUUUUUAUUUGCCAGACUGUAUGAGUAUCUAAUGUGGUAAACACUACAAAUCAGCAAAAGGAAAAGGAGCACCAGUCAGGAAAAUAAUGUGUAGCCAUAGCUAGCAUGCAAAAAUCAAGUGGAAGAAGAAAAAGCAGGUUAUAUCUCCCCCUCCCCAUCUCACAGUGGUUGUUGUGGCAUUGCUUAGCUAGUGUCUCUGGCUCUGGCUAUUGCUUCAUUGCACUUGGCCAUAAAUGAAAGCUAUCUAAUGCUAAUGACCAUGGUGCCCACCCUAAUCAUGCAUUUGAAAUAUUAAUAAAAAUAAUUUAUGUCAUGUGACUGCUUUUUAACUAGCUGCUUUCAGGACUUUAGAUCAGGAUUAUAAAAGACGUGCAUUUAUAAAUUAUUAGCCUUGAGCACAUAAGCACUGUAUACUAUGGGGAGCACUUUUGUAGCACUUUAAAUUAAUUUAUUGUUAUUCAUUCCAGCUGUCUGUGAUGUAAACCUUUGGCUAUAAAUUUGUACCAUCAUCCAACACACCAUUAAACUAAAGUGGUGCCCGUGCUGGAGCAUAUAAUAAAACAUAUGAAUAAGAUUUCUGUGGGGACACUUUUUUUAAACUCUCUUCUCAGUUAAUGACACAAGAAAAGUGAGAUAACAUAGUCACCCUGUAACUAUGCAUUCAUUAAAAUAUGUCUGGUAGGGAAGAGUUUUAAAUUUGCACUUCUAUUGAAUUCUGACUCAAUGUUUUUCUUUACCAGAUUGUUUCAAUUCAUAUCCUAUCUCAAGCAAAAGGCUUUGUCUGAAUCCAUCGUGAAGUCACCAGCUAAGACUGCCAGAGGAUUUUGCUGGACCUUAACUUUUCAGUAGUGGAAAUAGCUCCUAGGCACUGAAUCGCAGACCAACAAGGGCAGAGCACUUUCACUGUCUUAUCUCCUCUGCCGGCAAACAUUCCUUCUCCUACAGAUCACCAUUAGGGUAGCAAAACUUUAUCUGCAUGACUAACACCAUAAUGUCUUAAUCCACUUAACUGUAUAGAUAUAUUUCAUGCCAGCCCAUUGGGAUACAAUUUCCUAAACUUUAAAGCAAGUUGUGAUCAUGCAGUACUCCACCAAGCAGAGUCACAACCAUCCAUUGCUUUUCUCUUUGCAGAUGACAGAGCGCACACCUGUUUGAAGGAGGUCCUGACUGAUCUUCCUCUGAUUUUGGUAAGAGUUUGGCUGCUCAGAAUUUCUCAGAUUUAGGCUCCUACUCCUGGUAUAAAAUAUAGCUACAUAAAAACAGAGAUACAAACCUGAAUGUCAGAUUCUCAGCUGAGAUAAUAUAGCACAGCUCCUUUAAUUUGUACCAGCUGCUCAUAUAUCACAUGCUUUUCAGAACUAGAGCUUGCCAAGUUAUUCACGUAUAGGAGGGCCUUUUGAAAUUCAGCUGAGAGCAGAAAAUGGUACCCAUGAAGACUGUAUCUUUGAUUGUAAAUAAUCUCAUUAAUCUAAAGACUAGUUUCAGGAACUAAAGUUCUCUUUUCCAUAAAUUUCCAAACCUAUCCUAAAUUUUCUUAGUUUAAGGAUCUAAGUAUUUGAUUUGGGAUCAUCUCUAAAUAAUCUGCAAGCAGAAUAUCUGAACCACUUGGGAAUAUGUGUAGAUGAGUAACUGCCCUUUACACACAAAAAUUAACAUUUGACUAUAGGACUAACAAAAGAUACUGUCCUCCUGGAGAAUUUUUGUUUUGGUCCAAAUAUCUACAAGUUAGGAAGUUUAUCUCAACUGUCUAAAGUUCUUCAAAUAUAUUCAAUAGAAACUUUGAAAAGGAGCCUUUGGCUCUCACCAGGGCUGAAUUCUGCUCUGCGAACUGCUCUGGAUAUUUGAAUCAUACUGGUGCUCCUAGAAAAAGAUUGGCACUUGAAUGAAGUGUACCAUACCAUAGAUAAUGUAUGAACGAUCUUUUUUCAGUCUGAUUUGCAUGCCACAGCAAGACCUUCAUGUGGAGAUCUGCAUGAGAAGGAAAAAUAAUGGUGGGUGGAAGAGAAGACAGGAACAACGUGAACUAUAUUUACAUUCUUGGGAAAAGGGGGUGAGAGAUCAGAUUUAUCUACUCAUAUUAUCCUUGUCUCUGAACAAAACACAAAUCAAUAUCAGCUUGCACUUUUAUAUCUCUUCCAAUUAAAAGAAAACAAAAUUAUGGCAAUCUUCUGUCUGAUUACAAAAGAUAUUUCGGGUUGUGGCUGGAUAAAGGGUCUUCACCUGCUAUCUAGCAAACAAGGAGUUAAUCACAGUUGAAGCUUCACUGACAGAGGUGAUUAGGACAAGAGCUAUAAAUCAGUUGCCUGAGAUGCAAAGGGAUGUUGAUUACUGGGCAAGAGGACAGGUUUUAGUUGUUGUCUUAGGUGCGAGUAUGAAGACCUGGGUAGCUGCAGCAGUUGUUCUGGUUUGAACUCUUCCUUCCUGGGAAAGCUGUCUACCUAUGUAGUUUGCUUUGAAAGAAGACAUUACCCACUGCCUCCAUCUGUGGUGUUCAUCUUUGCCAGUUAUAGUUAUGUUCUGUCCGAGGAUACAUACAAGAAAGCCCUUGUUUUUUAUUGAUGUGCUAAGCUUGUUUUAAAUUUUGUUCUAACUUGCUUACUACAGAAGAAGAAGACUUGGUCAUGUGAAAAAAGGUUAUGCAGAGCUUUCCUUUUUAUUAAUUGGCUUAUCAACUGCUGCUUGAUGUAUUUAAAUAAUCGGAGGAGAACUAACUAUAUAUUAUCUAUAUAACUUAGAUGGCUUUAAAAGAAGAGACAGUGUUGUGUUUAAGUUGCAGCAUCCAAGAUGACAGAGUUCAUUUCCCAGCUGCUAAUGAAUCUUCUCAGCUGUUCAUGCCUCAAUUUCUUAUCAAUUGCCUUUUGUUUCCUCUUACUUAAACUGUAAUCUUUUGGGAGUCAUAGCUCUAGCCACUACAUACUACCUUAGGUUGCUCAAGUCUUCUAAAAGUGCCUCAACAAGUGGUGCUCCUCUUCAGCUUCCGUGCUGGCGAUACCUGCUGAUGCCACCGUUUGGCAGGAUGAAGCUCUUUAUUCCAUUACAGGGCCUGGCAGCUCCUGCCCGUGUGUGCCGUGAAGCAGUGAAGAAGGGCCCUUGCCCCAAGGACCACGCCUCAGCUAAGAGACCAGAGAGAAUGGGUGGGUGCCAGGAACAGAGGACAACAGAAGGAAACGAUGACCGUGCCUCCACAGUUUGGCAAAAGCAGUCUCGAAAGCAGCUGUAAGAAAGGCAUCCUUUGUCCUUCACUCACACAGCCGUGGCCAGACUGUCGGAGGGGGCCCUGGUCAUCCGCUAGCCGUGCUCACGGUCACCGGGCGAAGCGUGCCCUGGAGAGGGCUUGCAGCCGAGACACUGCGCUCAAAGCGAUUGCCAUGCACGCCACAUCAGCGCCUCACAGACAUAUGCUAGCAUUUGUGGUACUGUCAAAAUACGCUUUCGAGCCUGUUUCAGCAGCAAGCCUGCUUAGACUCCGUGCCAGGAAAUGUUAAUUACUGUGGUACAAUCUUCUGUUUUGUGUGGUGCAAUAACAAUUAAUUUAUACCAUUUGGAAAACACUUACACAUUUUUAUUAAAAAUCAAUAAAAGCAAGUCAAUACAGUGUAAAGUAUACAAUAUCAAAAUGAAAAGCUCUUGUUUUUAUACUUGGGCAUCCCUCAUAAAAUUUCACUGUUGAUUCAGGCAGCUUGUCUGUUCUAAUCUAAUGAGGAGCUGUCAUGUUUCUUUUCAGCAUUUUGGAAACAAAUAAAAAUGGCUGCCCAAUACAUGGUAAGAGAAUGCAAUAAGUAACCCCCAAGUGGUAAGUCAAUAUGAUGAUGUAAAUGCUGCUGCAUUCACUUCUCUGCAUCGUGUGACCUGACAAUCCAUGGCAUCCAUUUUGAGUUAGGAUGGAGGUUAACUUUUAUUUAUCAUUAUAAUUAGGAAAACACUAGCUCUAAAAGAGACUGCUCCAUUACUAGGAGGUGUCACGACAGAGUAAAUUCCAUAGCAAUAUUUGCAUUUUAACAGGUCAAAGAGUAAAACAAACUAAUCAUUUCUUCCUGGGAAAACCUGUUUAUUCUUCAUAAUCUAAUGAAUUACUCGAACAUUGAUUUCAGAGAUUCUUCUGAAACAAAAUCAUGAGUGGUUUUUUUGCCCUUGCUCCAAGCAUGCGUGGUGCUGUGGAGCCUGGCAGGGCUCAUGGUUCCUAGGCUUACCUGCAGCAAGCACGGGGCAAGACCAAAGUUUCUCAGGUGGCUUAAAUCCUGGCUCCUCAGCAAGGCACAGUUUCAGGGAGCUUGUGCUGGAGACCACAGAGCCCCCCAUGUUCCCCACCGCUGCAGCAAGGAGCACCUUGCCUUUUAAAAUGCAAACUACUCUUCCCAUUGCCAUAACCCAUUGCCAUGUUUUGCGCAUUUCUGAGUGUAUCUGCAGUAGUUUUAGCUUGAUCUUUUAACAGUGAACCAGAACAGAAACGAAUGGGGUGGCUUUAAUCUUGUGAAAGCACUAAUGUCAUGUAGGCAGUUGGUGACAUACAUUGUGGAUAGGUAGAGCACCAGCUCCUGGCUAUAGCUAGAAGUAUCAUGCGUUCCAGUUUGAAGGUUUUUAUUAUUUUUUUUAAUAUUGAAUUGAUGGAUAAUCCUUUUAAAUGUGUGAAAUGCUCCAGAUAUGAUAGUAGUUUUUCAGAGCUAUUAGACAACUCUGGUAGGUCAUGACAGUGGGCUGGGAGGACAGGCGUCACUGAGGUAAAAAUGUAAUAACUAGACUAAUUUAAAAUGGAUAGAGAAUUCAUACAAAACUGCCAGGAACUCUUUCUUUGUCUUGCUGCAGGGAUAUUGGCAAUCUAGACAUAAGGAAAUAAAAGACUCUGAAAUGAAUUCAAAAUUUUUCAAAUUUGGAUG